GAUGAAGAACGCAGCGAAAUGCGAUACUUGGUGUGAAUUGCAGAAUCCCGUGAACCAUCGAGUCUUUGAACGCAAGUUGCGCCCGAAGCCAUUAGGCCGAGGGCACGCCUGCCUGGGCGUCACACGCCGUUGCCCCCCCAUCUACUCCUUCGGGAUUGCGGGGGGCGGAUGAUGGCCUCCCGUGCGCCUCGUCGCGCGGUUGGCAUAAAUGCCAAGUCCUCGGCGACGCACGCCACGACAAUCGGUGGUUGCGAAACCUCGGUUGCCCGUCGUGUGCGGUCGUCGCGCAUCGAGGGCUCGAAAAAAUUGUCGGGCUCCGGCUCGGCUUUCAACGCGACCCCAGGUCAGGCGGGGUUACCCGCUGAAUUUAAGCAUAUCAAUAAGCGGAGGA
rnacentral:misc_RNA from 1 species